UUUAUAUUUAGUGCUUUUACUUCUCUGAAAUAAUUCUACAAAAAGAAAAUCUAAAGUUACAAAAUCUACCACUUAAAUUUGAGAGCAAAAAUUCAAAGCUACAGAGGCAGCCAAUCAAUCCAAUUAUCUAUAACUUGACCAAACACAUAAACACGUUAACUUGACCCCAAAAAAAUGAAUUCUUGUUUUCAUAUCCUAGGGUGAACCUAUAGAUUCAUCCCUUAAAUAUGAUAACCAAUAAAAUAUUGCCACAUCAUAUUUUGUUUAUGAAAAUAAAAAAAUAGAAAAUAAUAUUAAUUGCCAAAAAAAAUUUUGACAUUAUAAAACUGUAAACCCUAAUC
rnacentral:lncRNA from 1 species